rnacentral:SRP_RNA from 1 species
GCCGGGCAUUGUGGCGGGUGCCUGUAGUCCCAGCUACUCAGGAGGCUGAGGCAGGAGAAUCGCUUGAACCCAGGAGGCAGAGGUUGCAGUGAGCCAAGAUUGCACCACUGCACUCCAGCCUGGGUGACAGAGCAAGACUCUGUCUCAA